GAUGAACGCUGGCGGCGUGCCUAAUACAUGCAAGUCGAGCGAACAGACGAGGAGCUUGCUCCUCUGACGUUAGCGGCGGACGGGUGAGUAACACGUGGAUAACCUACCUAUAAGACUGGGAUAACUUCGGGAAACCGGAGCUAAUACCGGAUAAUAUAUUGAACCGCAUGGUUCAAUAGUGAAAGCUGGUUUUGCUGUCACUUAUAGAUGUAUCCGCGCCGCAUUAGCUAGUUGGUAAGGUAACGGCUUACCAAGGCAACGAUGCGUAGCCGACCUGCGAGGGUGAUCGGCCACACUGGAACUGAGACACGGUCCAGACUCCGACGGGAGGCAGCAGUAGGGAAUCUUCCGCAAUGGGCGAAAGCCUGACGGAGCAACGCCGCGUGAAUGAUGAAGGUCUUCGGAUCGUAAAACUCUGUUAUUAGGGAAGAACAAAUGUGUAAGUAACUAUGCACGUCUUGACGGUACCUAAUCAGAAAGCCACGGCUAACUACGUG
rnacentral:rRNA from 1 species